rnacentral:rRNA from 1 species
UGGGGAAUAUUGGACAAUGGGCGAAAGCCUGAUCCAGCCAUGCCGCGUGUGUGAAGAAGGUCUUCGGAUUGUAAAGCACUUUAAGUUGGGAGGAAGCGCAUUAACCUAAUACGUUAGUGUUUUGACGUUACCGACAGAAUAAGCACCGGCUAACUCUGUGCCAGCAGCCGCGGUAAUACAGAGGGUGCAAGCGUUAAUCGGAAUUACUGGGCGUAAAGCGCGCGUAGGUGGUUUGUUAAGUUGGAUGUGAAAUCCCCGGGCUCAACCUGGGAACUGCAUUCAAAACUGACUGACUAGAGUAUGGUAGAGGGUGGUGGAAUUUCCUGUGUAGCGGUGAAAUGCGUAGAUAUAGGAAGGAACACCAGUGGCGAAGGCGACCACCUGGACUAAUACUGACACUGAGGUGCGAAAGCGUGGGGAGCAAACA